AUUGAACGCUGGCGGCAGGCUUAACACAUGCAAGUCGAACGAGUGGCGGACGGGUGAGUAAUGCAUGGGAAUCUGGCCGAUGGAGGGGGAUAACGACGGGAAACGGUCGCUAAUACCGCGUACCAUAGGAUGAACCCACAUGGGAUUAGGUAGUAGGUGGGGUAAAGGCCCACCAAGCGCCGAUCUCUAGCUGGUCUGAGAGGAUGACCAGCCACACCGGGACUGAGACACGGCCCAGCCUCCUACGGGAGGCAGCAGUGGGGAAUAUUGCGCAAUGGGGGCAACCCUGACGCAGCCAUGCCGCGUGUAUGAAGAAGGCCUUCGGGUUGUAAAGUACUUUCGGUGACGAGGCGUUAAUCGCAGAAGAAGCACCGGCUAACUCCGUGCCAGCAGCCGCGGUAAUUC
rnacentral:rRNA from 1 species